rnacentral:rRNA from 1 species
CCUACGGGUGGCAGCAGUGAGGAAUAUUGGUCAAUGGACGAGAGUCUGAACCAGCCAAGUAGCGUGAAGGAUGACUGCCCUAUGGGUUGUAAACUUCUUUUAUAUGGGAAUAAAAUGUUCCACGUGUGGGAUUUUGUAUGUACCAUAUGAAUAAGGAUCGGCUAACUCCGUGCCAGCAGCCGCGGUAAUACGGAGGAUCCGAGCGUUAUUCGGAUUUAUUGGGUUUAAAGGGAGCGUAGGUGGAUUGUUAAGUCAGUUGUGAAAGUUUGCGGCUCAACCGUAAAAUUGCAGUUGAAACUGGCAGUCUUGAGUACAGUAGAGGUGGGCGGAAUUCGUGGUGUAGCGGUGAAAUGCUUAGAUAUCACGAAGAACUCCGAUUGCGAAGGCAGUUCACUGGACUGCAACUGACACUGAGGCUCGAAAGUGUGGGUAUCAAACAGGAUUAGAUACCCUUGUAGUC